rnacentral:tRNA from 1 species
GGCGCCAUGGUCAAGAGGUCAAGACGUCGCCCUCUCAAGGCGAAAUCAUGGGUUCAAUUCCCAUUGGCGCUG